rnacentral:lncRNA from 1 species
AUGGAUGCCAGCGUCCACCUUGCACAGGGGCUGGGGAGGAAGGCAGAGUCCAUCUGUGCCCAGGAGGCAGCAGAGCAGGGACACGGGCCCCCCGCGGAGCUCCAGCUGACCUCACGGGGGACAAGGAGGACAGCAGGCAGGUCAGACAGAACUUCAGAACGACAUCGGCACAGGACACGGAACAUUGUCCUGGCCCCACCCCACAGUCAUCAUAAACCUCCAGGGAGUGGCCAGGGGCAGCCACGGGCCUCCAGUGUGUGGCUCCCAGGGACAGCCCCAGGGAGGCAGCAGCCUCCUGAUCUGAUGGGACACACUCCCGCAAAAACAGACGACGAGGGCUCGGGCUCCAUGGAACACACGACCGCAAGCUCAACACACACACACACACACACACACACCAGGGCUGCGGGUUCCAUGGAACACACUACCACAAGCUCACACACACACACACACACACACCCCCACACACACACCAGGGCUCCAGGCUCCGUGGAACACACUACCACAAGCUCGGUACAAACACACACACACACACACACACACCCCUACACACACCAGGACUCCAGGCUCCGUGGAACACACUACCGCAAGCUCAGUACAAACACACAAACACACACACACACCAGGGCUGCGGGUUCCAUGGAACACACUACCACAAGCUCACACACACACACCCCGCCACACACACACCAGGGCUCCAGGCUCCGUGGAACACACUACCACAAGCUCGGUACACACACACACACACACACCCCAGGGCUGCGGGUUCCGUGGAACACACUACCACAAGCUCACACACACACACACACCCCCCACACACCAGGACUCCAGGCUCCGUGGAACACACUACCGCAAGCUCAGUACAAACACACAAACACACACACACACACACCAGGGCUGCGGACUCAAGAGCUUCAUGCUUUGGGGGCUAACCAUAUUUGCAUGCAUUCUCCUCAAAAAGCUUGUAGCCUUCCGUCAGGAAACAGCAGGGAGGCCUCACUCCCUUUCCCAGCAGAUGGAAACUGA